rnacentral:lncRNA from 1 species
CAAACAGUGAGUAAGAGGGACCUCACACAAGAACAAAGCACAAGUACUCAGGGCACCUGGGUGAAGCCUUUGAGGAUGAGGUAAGUGCCCCUAACACAAAGGGUGCCCUCUCUCUGACGAGGGAGACAGGAGUUGACAGCUCAGAGGAGGCCCAUGUCUGAGCAGAGCUCACAUCUGGGCCUUGCAACCUCCAGAACUGUGGGAAAUAGGGUGGCGCCGUUGGUGACCCCUCAUCUGUGAGGGGGCCCAACAAACCAAAACCAUGUGUUCCUUCUUAGCAAAACCCAAAAGUUGUGCAAUGAAGGAAAUGUAAUCACAGUAUAUCUCAAGACUCAGAAGAAAAAUGAUGGGAAAACAGACUCUGAGGAGAAAGCAGUUCCCUGGGAAAAUGAGAGGAUGGGUGGGGAGGGAGGGAGAGAGAGAAGAAAAGAGAGGGGGAGGAAGAGGGGAGGGAGGGAGGGAGAGAGAAUGAGGGAGAAAGGGAGAGGAAGAUAGGGGUGGGAAGGGAGGAGGAAGGGAGGGAGGGAGGGAAAGGGGCAGGGAAAGAGAGGUUUUCUUACCUCCUAUACUUAGAGGUCAGUACUAAUAUUGAAAGAUACAGGGAAAGUAAGAAUAUCAAUAAAGCAUGUUAUUUGUCAAUACCAGAGGCCGUAGCACAGAGUUAAAGGGUGUGUGUGAGGCAAAAUGGGGGUAGAGGGGUAGAGUGGGUGGCUGAUGGCUCCUGACCUCAUUCUUGUAGCCCCCGAAGUACUUUUAUUCAGAGAGAACAGAAUAAAAGGUGGUUAAGAAAAAUAAUGAGAAAUCUAACCCUUUUGUUUUACUAGGGGGCCUGCUGAUGUCCUCCCAUUACAAGGCCAGGGAUGGGGCACAUGCCUGUACUUCAGCACUUAGGAGACUGAACCUGGAGGGUCGGGAGUUAAGGCCACUCUCUGUUAUGUAAGUCUGGCUGGGCUAUACGAGAUUUAAAACAUUUAAGACUUAAAAAUUUUGGUCUUAAAAACACCAAAAUUAAUAAAAUGAAAUAACAACCAAGAAACUCCCUCCAUUAUUUCUGCUUAUCACAGUACCUCAGGCCUGUAAUGUCAGCAUUUAGGAGACUAAAGUGGAGGACCAGGAGCUCUAGUCCAGCCAUGUGAGCUUGAGGACAGCCUGGGCUACAUGAUAUCUACCCUCCACCACCACCACCCACACACACAACAUGAAAUCCUCUUUCUGUUCCUCACCAAAGCAGAGAAGGUUUAUGGAGUCCCAUUCCUUUGUCUGAGAAUUAACUAUGGCUGUUAGAAUUACAACAUAAUUAUGAUCGGGCAGCUGUCAUUGCAUCGUGGAGGUCCUGACUGCAUGCUGCAACUCAUAAUUCUCACUCAGGUGGCUGAGGCAUCACCAUUGCCCUUUACUGCACAUAGAGGGGGUAAAAGCUGAAGCAGCUUCCAGAAUUUGCCCAAUGUAGCUUGGCAAGUCCAAAACAGAAUCAGUAAAGAAAGAGUUGAAAAGGGUCAGCUUACUUAUUGACCCAUGGCGGGUGUCCCUUUCUUCCACCCAUAAACAUGAUACAUUCUUUCAAAACACAAUUUAGAAAUUUGUAGCACCUGGACUCCAAGCCCGAUCGAACACCCAAGAAGUUUCCCAUGGGCAACACGGCCAAAAGAACCUCAGUCAUGACCUGCAGCACCUACACUGGUACUCUUCCGAAUCGAGUGUGCCAAGCUGUGUAGGAUGAUGUCAGUGUUUUAUAACAGUAUCACGUCAAGGAUUUGGGGUUACAUAUGGAAAUUUCCACCCGAUGAGGGAGGGCUUUCAUGUUUCAUGUAAAGUCGAAUUAAGCAAUUGUCACUUCUCAGUCAUGUCUAAUGAAGUCACAGCCACAAGGUCAAAGGGCCACGGAUUCAGGUGAAUACAGAAAGGUGGGCUGUACUAUUUGCUUUAACAGCUUCCCCCACCUUCUCCAACAGGAAAAAAAAAAAAAAAAAGGGAAUUCAGUUUUAUUGCCUUUCCAUCCCUCUUUUUGGAAUGUUUCCAGGACUCCCUGCUUUUAUGACCCUAUGCUCUCUCAUAAAGGAUACAGGAUACUUCAUCCUAAAUCAGUACAAGUGAUGGACACUAACCCUGACAGCUCCAGGACUUCCACUGACGAUGCUCCCUGGGCUUUCUGCUGGAUGCUAUGGACCAAGUAUGUCCUUUCCCUUCCACAAUGGCUGUGACAUCCCUUCACUAAAAACCGACUCAUUUGAGAAGUUGAAAGAGAAGAGAAAAAAGAGACAGAGAACAAGGCAUUUCCUCAAGAAAACCUAAGAGUUAAGUUUUGUUACCAGCCAUUGAGACAGUCUUACUCUGCAGAUCAGGCUGGCCUUGCCUGUGUAGCUCAGGCUACUUGAGCUGCUUCAGCCUCCUGAGUGCUUGGAUUAGAGGUGUGGACCAUUGUAUCUGUGUCCUGGAGGCUCCUUUCUAAUUUAGUUCACUAAUUAGAUUUCAUACUGCCAGACUGUAAAGGUGAAUCUUGGGGUGGGAGCGAGUUUUCUGGUGGACAGUAACUCACCAACGUGAAGUCCUGCCAGAGGAAUAUGCAGACCUUGCAACUGGAGAUGUCCUUUGAGCAUCUAUUUGGGCAGUGUGGUAGGAGAACCCAGGGAUGCCACGGGUACCAAAGAGGGGCCAGUGAUGAGAAAGUUUGUCUUACUCAGGGUGUGGUAGCAUGGUCUGGACCGAAACGACUGCAUUUCCAGACAUCAAGAGAUAGAAAUAGCUCUAUCCUUUGUUUUAGUUUCAUUGCCUCCUUCUAGCCUUUGGAGCGAUCCCUUCUAAUUAUCCUCAUCUGUUUCUGCUUUAAUGGCCUCUCUGGCUUUCUGUUUACCUUGGGUUGGGACAUGGAGAUGCCUUUCCGCCCCUCCCCUGCCUGGGUAGACAGGGGACACCGAGUGAGACCUUCUUUCUACUGAGUCUUGGACAUCUGUGCUGCUCCUCUCUGCCGACGGCUCCCAGAGACACCCACCGAAUGGUAUGCUCAUGAGGAAGACCCCAAUUCUUCCUCAUCUUCUCCCAGCCUUAGCCCUCUAAUCUACACCCCAAUUAUCCCAGUUAACUUUGAGAGCUUUCCCCUCCCAUUUUCUAAACAUCUCUUCACAAUUUUUCCUAUUUCCGCCCCUCCUUGAUUACAGCCAUCCUCGGAAACUUCCAACUCCCAAACCAAAGGCCACAAAUUCCACAGCCUGGAAUUAUGGAGGUGCAAUAGAAAGGCUGAGGACUCCAACAGCUGUGGGCUCAGCCCUUGUUCCCUCACCUGCAAACCAGCACACAUGGGUGGAUUAGCAGCAUUGCUAGUCUGUGCCACAGCUGAAAAUAUCAAAGAAUAAUAGUAGCCAUAGGAGUAUUUGAGGUCUAGCUACUUCACAUGCGAUCUAGUAUCUAGCAUUUGUAUUCAUUUAUUUUGGGGAUCCCUCUCCACCUCUCUUCUGGAAGACAGGAAGCCCCCCAGGAGCUGUGUUUGUGUUGUAAUUACCUCUGUUUCCCUCACAACACCCACCAUGCUAUCAUAGGUUUUCAAUACAACCUCAAUAUGUUCUUUCUAAAUGAACAUGUAAGUUAGUUGAUGUCUUUGGUGGUGGUGGUAUUACUUUUAAAAGACCAAGGUAUAUCACUGCAAGAAAAAAGCAUUAUUGUCUUAAACAUCAUCCAGGUAGGUAUUUAUUCUGAGCUCACUGUGUGCCCAGGUUUGAUGGAACUAACCCAUCCCACAUCCCUGUUAUCACCUCCUCAUCACCUCAUACGGAGUCAGGGGAUGGUAGAUGAGUUAUCCCAGGUCAUCUAGAUAAUUCAGAGAUCGAGGGUUCAAGAACCAAACGUGAGAUGCCAAGAUCUUCUGAGCAUAGAUGACCCCUCCCUUUCUAACAUUCAACCUAGAGUCAGAAAAUGUCUGAACAAAACCAAAAACUUACUUUAAAUAAGAAAGCCACACGAGUUUGUAGAGAGGAUAUCAUGUUCCUCGUUCCCAAAGCCUAACUGAAAAGUUGUUUACAAGCACGGAUGGCUGACUUGCCCAGUGUAGAUUUGAUUUAUCCAUCUUCAUAUGCAAAUAACCUGCCUUCGUGUGUGUCCUUUGCAUGCUGCCUCCAGCACCUGGUGCUGUGACCUGAAAGGCAGAGUGGGCAGGAGUUUCGUAGACAGGAAGUUGGGACAAUUCUUCCACGUGGUUUGUCCUUUUGUUUCUGCUUAAUUUCUCCAGGGAGGGGUUCCUCAGGUAACACGGUGCCAGGCAGACCGCAUUUCUGUUAAUCUGUACACAAAGUGCUCUUACUUAACUUUUCCAGGGAGGGGUUCCUCAGGUAAGACGAUGCCAGGCAGACUGCAUCUCUACUUUACUUACACACCAAGUACUCUUACUAUGUCCUCAUGUAUCCAGCUCGAGAAACAGUCAGAGCAGACUUGAGUUCUUUGAGAACUAGGUACCGGCCUCCUUCUCUUUUCUGUUUUUGUACUGGGGCUUGAACCCAGAGCUUUACACCUGCUAGACACAUGUGCAACCACUGAGUCACACACCCAACUCCUCUCCAUCUCUUCCUUUCUGGCAGGUUUGUGGAUAUUGGGUUUUGUUGGUGGUGGCAGACUUUUUGCCUGCUUGUUCUGUUUUUCUUCUAGUGUCUUCUGAUUGGCAGGGAGGCCAUACAAAACUACCCAGCACAGUUUCCAAGUCUCAUGAAGAAGGGAACUUGAUCCUUUCACUGGUGAAGAGUUGGCCUUGGGCUAGCACUGGGACUCGGUUCAUAGGGAGCGUACCUGCCAUGUAGAAACCACAAUCCAGUCCCUGGUCCCACAUAAAGCAGGCAUGGUGUCACAUGCAUUGUGUGUCACAGGCAUGCAAUCACAGCACUUGGGAGAUGAAGCUCAAGUCCAUACUGGGACACGUAAGAGCCUGUCAACAACAAAAUCAAAUUAGGCUUUCCCUAAUGAUCAGUGAUAACAAUUUAUGUCUUCCUUGGCAAAGCUAUAGUAGAAUAAACAAAACUCUUGUCUGAGACUAGAGAACAGAAACCCAGCUAGAGCCCUGGCUGAGAGGAAUUGUGAGCAGCUGCGAGAGGAGCUGCUGCGAGGACCAGAGUUCCUGACUUCACCCACCACCAUAGCAUGUCCUCUCUUAAUCUUGAUUUCAUUAUUUGUGAGACAGUAACAACACAUUCAUAAUGAUAGCUAACAAUGAAUUAGAUGCCCGGUUCUGUUCUACCCAUCAACAAGCCAGUUUGCCUAACCUCUGUGUCUGUGCAAUGAGGAAAGUUCUACAACACCUUUUGGUAGACGAGUACACUAAGAGAAAGAGGCUCCAGUAAUUUGGGUCAAGACCUCAAAGACACUAAGUGAUAGAUGGAUUGGGGUUCUAUCGGGGUAAUGGAGAUCCAGAGACAGAGCACAUACGGCCCCUCUCAUCCUAAAAUCUUCCUUGAUUCUGAAGUAUCCUCUCUACCACAGUCAGACUCCAUUACAAACUCCAUGGACAGGAGGAGCUUCACCUAGUUACAAAACACCUCGGGCUACAAACCGAUUGUUACCAAGGUGGAUCUGAUUUGCAUAUCGUUAGAAUGUGUUAGUUUUGAGUAUUGCAGUUUGCAUAUUUCUCUGGGGAGGAGCUGCCCAGAGCUGGAGCACGUCACCUUUUGUUUUUUUUUUAUAACCUGAAAAAGGAAUGCCUGAGAGAAAAAGAUGUCAAAUGUCCCUGUGCACCCCUGUAUGGUUGGAAUAGUAAUGGCAAUAUUUUUAGAACCUUAAACCCUUCCACUCUCUGGACAGAGCGCACUGCACAUGCAAUGUUGGUGUGACAGCUCAUUCACAAGACUUGGGUCUGACACAGCCCUACUUUGCAGAGACACUCAAGAACCUCCAGUAUCAAAGUUCCCUGAAACCCUGGGUUUUAAUCCACUUCCAUUUUUUACACAGGGCCCUCUUACUCAAUUCCUCCAUUUGCAUAGAAAACAAAAUCAUGAAAAAUGGAUUUUUGAAAGGAAGGUAGACACCAGGGGCAGGGGCUGGUGGGGAUACUGUAGUGUUUUAAAACCUACUGGAAGGUUUAGAAUGACAAAGUAAACACAUGAACAAAGCCCAGGCCAUAAGGACAGACGGCUGACCAUUGCCAACAUAAGCAUAUUAUUAGCAUCAAAAUUAAUUUUCCAUUAUCUGUCUGAUCUUGGAAGAGCACAAGGAAUCUGAAUUCUCAUCAGAGGUUCAGACUGCAUUUUAGUGAAUUCCUCAGUCUUUUCCCUAACUGAACACUGUGCGGAAUGACCCAGUUAUUACUAUUUAUAAAAUGGAGUGCCAUGAGCUCUCUCUUGCUCUCUGGUAAAAAACAUGUUUAAAGAAACACUAGAGAAACAGGUGCCCUGUGUCCAGACACUGCCUCAGAUGCAUGACUACUUUCUUGUUAAUUAAAUUGUUGGGGAGCAUAUCAGACACCUCAUUAACCACUUUUUCUGCUUUGAGCUGUGGAGAGUCAAUGGAGGCUGAAAGCUGGCUACAGCACACAGAGUAAGAGACAAGAUAAGCUAGUCUUUUAUCUCAGGAAACCAGAGAUUUUCCUUUCCUCUGAAACAGUUCUCAUUGUCCCCCGUGGAAGGUGAGGGUUACAGAUAAAGCUAGGACACACCCUACAGGGAACACACUUUGGAAAGAGCCCUGUAUCUUUUCUAUGGGGAUGGAGGGAAGAGAGCACUUGGUUUCUUGGACGUGAUGCAUCCAUGAAGUUUUCACUGUGAACAUCUGAUGGGCUGAAGCUAAUUAACAUUUAAACACUGGGUUUCUGUGCUGUUUUGGGGUUUGAGAACCACAAGGGAAACCUACCUUUUCUUAGUUUGGGGCACUGUGAAUCACAGGCCUGUCAUUUCCUCCUUUCUGUCUAUGUCUUAACAUUUUCAGACAAACAGUGCCGUAAAGGAGAAGGAUCAUCGUUCCAGUAUGCUUAAUUUCGACCCAAACCCUAUGACCAGCAGGAACAUCCAGGCACCGUCUGAUAGAGCACCCCAUUAAAACACCCCUCAACCCACACAUCAUGGCUGUGUCUCCUCCAGGAAGACAAUUUCUACCCUGGGGCUUGACCAGGAUUCUCUUCCAUCGCUUUGAGAAUGUCAGAGUUUAAAACUUCAAAGGGGAGGAAACAAGGGUUCCCGGAGGCUAAUAGCGUUGUGUCAAACAGAUGAAAUAAUGACAGUAUACAACAUGGAGCACAUCUGUAUUUCCUAAACGAACUUGUCUAAGGCACAGCUGCAGGAGGUGAAGCCAGGAUUAAAAGCUAAAGCAGUGAGAACUUCAGGACACCGUCCUUUCUGCCACAACAUGCAGCUCUUGAGCCCUGCAUCAGGAAAAAAAAAAAAAAAAAAAAAAAAAAAAAAAAAAAAAAAAAAAAAAAAAAAAGGCAGAGAAACUAAUUAAGGACCAUGCCAAAGAAAAUGCAGCAAAGUUUGAUUCAUUUGCCGUUGGCUUAAAAACUAAAGCAAAACACAGCCAGCCCUACUGGCCUGAAAGCUUACAACAUUUUCUUUAAAAAUAAAAGCAAGCAGGCACAGAACUGGUACUAUGGUGUAUUUUAAAAUGAUGUAAAAUCUACCUCCAACCUCCUCCAAAGCUGCACAUAUAAAAAAGAUCCAGGAGGAAAAAAGGAAAUGCACCAAACAGUCAGUAAACAUGCCAAGUUAAAGGGAUGCUAGGCAUUUUCCCGUUUUCUUCUUUCCUUCUUUUCCUAGGAUAAGUGUGAGCUGCUUGCCGAUGAAUUUAAUCUUCAACAAAAUUACUUAGCCUGCUAAACUAGUGAAAAAAGAAAGAAAUAUAAGCUUUGCUCUAACAGCUUUGGCUUUUACCAUGGGAGUGGGGGAGGCAAUAUCAGGUGAUUGGGUAAAUAAUUACAAAAAGAAAUGUUUAAGCAGGGCUUAGGGAGUCGGGAGCCCCCUGCCAGGACAAGUAUGCUAUCUGUUUGAUGGAAGGAGAGAAGGAAAAAAAAAAAAAAAACUACUCUUAACUGAGUUAAACUUCAGAGUUUAAUUACUGUUCAAUGAGGAAUUAAGAUUAGUGCCCAGUUGGAUAUUCACUUCUUUCUGCAGACCAGUGACAGGCAGUUUUAAUAAGGCCUCUGAGCCGAUGCCACAUGGGAAAUGAAAACAGAAAAAAUCCACUCAGUGGAUGCCUGCACUGACCUUGAACUUGAAGCAGAUGGGGCAGGUUCCUGCACUGAACUUGUCUUUGGAAACCCUAGCUCCCAGAAAGUGGAGAGCAGGGGCAAUCUGCUCUGCUCAUUGAUCUUCAGACCCCCAACUGUCCUACUUUUGAGGGUAAGCCUUGCCUUCCAAGUCUGUGUCAACCAAGAAGGAAAUACCCACAACAGAAAACUGAUUUAUGACAUCAGUACUUUCCAUAUAAAUCAUUUUUGAUUAAGAUGCAGUCAAUCCGAAAUCCACUCCUGUCGUUACUGCCAUCGGGUUCAAUGGCUACACCCUGUCUCGGGACAACUCGACUGCAAAUGGGAGGAACCACAUGAGAAGUCUUACUUUAGUCAUGGCUUCCUCUCACACUCCCAGGAUGUGGAGGACAGAGACAAGUAUGGCUCUUCUGGCUUCCAUGGUUCCAGAUGACCAACAAAAAGAUAUAAUGGUGGCAUUUUCAGUGGGCUUUGUGUUUCUAUACCCCAAUUCAGUUCAUGAUUCUUAAAACCAGCCUGGGGUUAGCAUGGUAUGUAUGUGUUUACAUGUCCUUGUGUGUGUGCUUGUGUGUCCAUGUGUGCGUCCCUGUGUGUGUCUGUGUGUGUGUGUGUGUGUGUGUGUGUGUGUGCCUGUGUGUCUGUCUACCUGUGUGUCCAUAUGUGUGUGUCCCUGUGUGUGUGUGUGUGUGCCUGUGUGUGCCUGUGUGUCUAUGUGACUGUGUGUCUGUCUACCUGUGUGUCCAUAUGGGUGUGUCUGUGUGUGUGCCUGUGUGUUCAUUUGUAUGUGCCUAUGUGUCCGUGUAUGUGUGUCCAUGUGUGUCUAUGUGCCUGUGUGUCUGUCUACCUGUGUGUCCAUAUGUGUGUGUCUGUGUGUGUUCAUGUGUGUGUCCGUGUGUGUGUGUGUGUGUGUGUGUGUGUGUGUGUGUGUGUGUGUGCCUGUGUUUCCAUGUGUAUGUGCCUAUGUGUCUGUCUACCUGUGUGUCUAUAUGUGUGUGUCUGUGUGUGUUCAUGUGUGUGUCCGUGUGUCCGUGUGUGUGUGUGUGUGUGUGUGUGUGUGUGUGUGUGUGUGCUUGUAUUUUAAGAAGUGGGAGUAAUGAAAAGGCAGCACUGUGCAUUCCACCCAUCACACAGUUUUAGAAAGCAGAACACCAGCCGAUGUUUGCUCCAGGUUCUCGUUAAGCUCACCAGAUUAUUGAGGUCAUUUCAGCCAUCUAGACUUCCCACACUGCUGUCUCUUCACAUACUUCUCUGGCUUGGUGUUUUAUGUCUCAUGCACAACUCAGCAUUUUUGUGUCCACCAGGAUGGAUUGGCAUGUGCACAGAUAAUACACAAUGUGGGUGUGCUUUCUGCAUAUCCAAGCUUCUACACAUGGUACACAGUGGAAUUCUCCAAUCUACAACUUAAGUUAAAAAGCACUCACUGUGAGCCGGGCUGUGGUGGUGCACGCCUUUAACCCAGCACUCAGGAGGCAGAGGCAGGCAGAUCUCUGUGAGUUCGAGACCAGCCUGGUCUACAAGUACUAGUUCCAGGACAGCCUCCAAAGCCACAGAGAAACCCUGUCUUGAAAAACCAAAAAAAAAAAAAAAAAAAGAAAAAGAAAAAAAAAGAAAAAAAGCACUCACUGUGAGUGACAGCACAUAUGUGUGUGCAGGAGCCUAUGCAUGUGUGUAGAGGCCAGAGGUCAACCUCCAGGGUCCUUCCUCAGGCACUGUCCACUUUGUUUUUUGGAAACAGGGUCUCUAACUGGCAUAGAACUCACUUAAAAGACCGGGCUGGCUGGCCAGUGAGCCCCAGGGAUCUACCUGCCCCUGCGUUUCCAGAGCUGAGAUUAUAAGCAUAUGCUACCCUACCUGGAUUUCUUACAGGGGUUUUAGGGAGUAACUCAGAUCCCCCUGCUGUUAGGCAAGUGCCUCAGCUCUGCUACCUCCCCAGGAUACAACCUAUGCUUUUGAGAGUUCAUGACAGUAAAACUCCACUAGAAUAUUUUAUUUUAUUCUUUAGUUUUUAAUUAUGGGUGUCUGUUGCCUGCUUAGCCUCAAACUCAUGAUCUUCCCGCCUCAGUCUGGAAGUGCUGGGACUGUGGGCGUGUGUCUGUGCCUUGUGGAAUGUGUAUUCUUCUGAAAGUUACAUCACAAAAGAUUAAUCUAUUUCAGUGCUCUUUGGGGUUUUAAAUAUCUGUUGGAAACCAUGCCACUUAACAAGCAUUUCCAUGCCUGCACCCUUUUACAGCUGCACACUUUCCCCACGAGUUUUACAGUGAGAAGUUGAUCUACUAAGUUAGGGAGGGUGAUUUGAAGCUAAUGUGGAGUGUGGUAUUUCUGGCGCUUAGUAGCAGCCCAUGAAAGUGAUGGCUACUCUACAAACACCACCCUGCUUCCUUGUCCUGUAUCUUAAAUUCUGUGGGUUCUGAUGCAAUGGUUUCUGCAGGUCAGGUUUUUUUGUUUGCUUGUUUUGUUUUGUUUUAUUUCUGAUGGGGGAUGUCCUUCUGUGCAUAUGUUUCUCUUAUUGGUUGAUGAAUAAAAUACUGUUUGGCCAAUAGAAGCAUGACUAGGCCAAUAGGCAGGACUAGGAGAUGAGGGAGAAUUCUGGGAAAGCUAGGUAGAAAUGGGUCAUGGGGAGAUGCCACAUAGACCACAAAGGAGUAACAAGGCCAGACCCUUCUCCAGUAAGCCAAGGCCACGUGGACAUACAUAGAUUAAUAGAAAUGUGUUCAUAAUUAAGAUAGAGCUAGCCAAUAAGAAGCCCCAGCCAUUGGCUAACAGUUUUAUAAUUAAUAUUUCGUCUCUGUUCAUUUGGGGCUGACAUGGCGGGACCUGGCGGGACACGUAACUCCAGCCUGUCAGUAGGCUGUGUGCUUGUUCCUAUCCUCAUUUGUUUAUUCUGGUCUUCAUUUGCUGCUCACAGACUCAUUAAUGACCCUGUUCUUUGGAGCUACUUAACCGAGAACAAUUCUUUGUCAUGUGAAAGGUUGCGUUUUUACCCACCUCCUCUCUCUUCUAUGUUGAACAAACUCUUUCUGUCUUUGGAUCUUGGUGUCAUCAGAUUCACCAAUGUUUUCUGCAACUUUUUGUCCCUGGAGUAAGAAACUUUUCUUUUGGGCAUUGCACAUUUUUAACCAAAGCUGUUUCGCACAUCUGGGUCUUUAAUCCAUCUGGGUUUAUUUUUUUGUCUAUGUGUGAAAAUGGGAUCCCAUCUUCUUUUCUGCAGGGGUCAUCAGUGGCCCUACCCCUGUUUGCCAGGCUGGCCUGUCUUUUCUUUUGCUUUGCAGGGCCAUCUUGGUUACAGCUCAAGUUUAUAAGUGUUUCUAGUGUUUCUGGAUUCUCUGCCACACAGCUGGGCUUAUUGGUCUCUUUUUAUGCCAAGACCACAUUUAGAGAGCUGUACAAAUUUGCGAUACAUUUGGUCAGCCACCCCCCCAACACCCUCCCUCUCUCUCUCUCUGUCUUUCUCUCCCUCCCUAUAUUUCUCUAUACCUAACUUUCCUUGAUGCCUCGUGUUUUUAUAUUGAUUUUAGGACUCACUGGCAAACCCUGUGAAGCCUCUGGGAUGCUGGUCAAAAUGUCACGGGGGUGUGAGGUGCUUUCGAGGGGUGGUGACACACGGCCGUUCUACGGUAACGCAUCCAUCUUCAUACUUUUUUUUUUUUUUGGUUCUUCAAAAAAUAUUUUAUUUUCCUUCAACAGUCUUAACCAUCAUUUAUUAGUUUUAUUCCUGGGUAUUUUACAAGUUUUUUUUUUUGUUUCCAUUUUCUAUUUCAUUUUCUGUCUGGUGUUAUUUUAUUGAAAUGCCCAUUAUUCUUUUUGUGUGUUGGCUUGAGUUCAGUAAUCUUAUGGAACUUUAUUGGUUCUUGUAGAAGAAAAGCACUUGAACUUCUUAGAUGAAACUUACACUGUUUAUAAAUAAGGACAGUUUCAUAGCUUCUCUUUCCAAGCAUUGUAUUUAACCCCUUCCUUCCUGUACUGCUUUGGACAAGCCCUUCAGCACAGUCAACCCCAGUUUGUAGAGACAGCAGUGUCUGGCCGCUGAAGGCUGUCUUUACAUUAUAUUUUCAACUGGGAGGUAUUUAGUCUUUCCAUAAAUACCUUUUAGCUGGCUCUAUUUCAACUGGUUGUGAUUAUUAUUAUUAUUAUUAUUAUUAUUAUUAUUAUUAUUAUUAUACUUAACUGAGCCUUGGUGUCCAGACAUUUUUAGUCAAACGUUAUUCUGGGUGUCUGUUUCUAAAAGAAUCUAAGAUUUUAAUCAGUAAAGCACAGGCCUUCUCUGUGGGUGGGCCCCACCCAACCAGUUGACAGGUAACUAGAGCCAAAGGGCUGAUUGUCUCACCAGUAGGAAGUGACUGUUGCCCUGAUUGUCUUCAGCCUGGGACAUCUAUUUCUCCUGCCUUAGGGUUCCACUAACCCCAGGUUCUUCCUAGGUCCCAAGCCAGUGACCUUCAGACAGAACUGAGAACUGGCUCCCCAGGGCCACGUGCCCCGGGCAUUGCAAACCUGACUUCACUACUCUACUAGACCUCUGUUGUGAAGAAUGCAGGGGCCUUAUAAACAUUGGAUCCAUAGGCCUGUUCAAGAGCAACUGCUGAGACCCCCUGGAGAACACCACAGGGCCUCAGCAGAGCCGCUGUUCCCGCCCUCUCACCCAUCUUCCAGUGCUACCAACUGUAGCCUUAAUAUAGGUUAUUCUCUGUACAGUAGCCAGAUGUGUGUUUUCUAAACCACAACUCAAACCUGGUCAUCAGAGAAAGAUCCAAAUCCUUCCCUUGGGUUCUAAGUGAUGCGUGAGUGCCCUUGCUUGCUCAUCUCCUCUCCAUCUAUUCCAUUACUCUUCUGUCAACCACGCUGGCUCCUGAACUUUCCUCCCAAAUCCUGGCUUCCUUCCUGCCUUGAGGCCUUUGCCUUCUGCUUCCGCUUUGAGUUAUUCUCCCUGGAAAAUGCUGCACUCAUCAUGUCUCACUCAGGCAUCUGGUCAGAGCAGCAGCCUCUUCAGACUCAGGACUCUUUCCUAUCCCGGAGCAGUUUUUACCCUGGCAAGCGUCAGUCUGACUCCCUGAUUCUGUGGUAACUCUCUGGCUCACCAUCCUGAAUACGUAAGACAGAGAGUUCUACUUGCUUAGGGAUCACCUGUGUCUGAGGAGGUUUGUUUCCUUGUGGUUUUGUUAUUGAUUGUUUUGUUUUGUUUUGAGAAGAUUCUUAUGGAGAUGGGGCUGACCUAAUACUCACUCUACAUACCUGAGGAUGACCUUGAGCUCCUGACCUUCUGCCUCCACUUCCCAAGUGGCAUUACAGGCCUGUGCCUUCAUGUUCAGACUAAGCAUUGCUUCACACAUGUCAGGCAAGCAGCCCUGCCACUGAGGCACACCUCCAGUCCUCAAGCGCUGCAGCAUCCUCAGUAAUUAGAUGCUUGUCUUGGUUUCCCUCGCCAUUCUUGCUCUCCUGCAAGUCUGCUGGUGUAGACACACUGGAUGCAUUUUGGAACAAAGCUCCUUGAACAGGAUGUCCCCAUCCCUCCCUCCCUUCCUUCCUUUCUGAGACAGGGUUUCUGUGUGUAACAGCCCUGGCUGUUCUGGAACUCACUCUGUAGACAGGGCUGGUCUUCCUUCCUUCCUUCCUUCCUUCCUUCCUUCCUUCCUUCCUUCCUUCCUUCCUUCUUUCCCUUUCUCCCUCCCUCACUCCCUCCCUCCCCCCUUCCUUCCUUUUUUCCUUCCUUUUUUCCUUCCUUCCUUCCUUCCUUCCUUCCUUCCUUCCUUCCCUUCCUCCC